UAGCUGAUUGGCGUCAGGCAGUUGAGAAUAUCACCGAGCCAGGCUAGGACAGGUUCACUAGGCAGAAGCAGAGGAUUCUGCAGGUUAGCAUAAAAGGGACGUGUAACAGAGAGAGACACGACACAGGCCAUGUCAUAAUCAGGGUAGGUCCGGCAUUAAACGAAAGAUUAGGGCACUGUUUAUCUUUGCACUCAAUGAAUGAGAACAGGGCAAGAAAAAAAAGUUGGGAGCUGAUUUCGUUUGCACUGAAUGUGAUCGGGGG